UAAGGUUCGAUUCGAGCGAAAGCGAGAAAGCGUUGCCAACGGCAACGACCCGAAGGGCGAAGCGCGCAGCGCUGAGUAAUCCUUCCCCCGUCAUCC
rnacentral:sRNA from 1 species